rnacentral:rRNA from 1 species
UACGUAGGUGGCAAGCGUUGUCCGGAUUUAUUGGGCGUAAAGAGCUCGUAGGCGGUCUGUCGCGUCGGCUGUGAAAACUCGGGGCUCAACCCCGAGCCUGCAGUCGAUACGGGCAGACUAGAGUGCUGUAGGGGAGACUGGAAUUCCUGGUGUAGCGGUGAAAUGCGCAGAUAUCAGGAGGAACACCGGUGGCGAAGGCGGGUCUCUGGGCAGUAACUGACGCUGAGGAGCGAAAGCGUGGGGAGCGAACAGG